AGGGGACCGGGGAUGGAGGGAGAGAAGACAAUCUGGAAGGGAUGUCCAGUUCUGCAGAAGAGGAGAGAGCAAGCAACACUUAGGCAACGAUGAAGGUGGCGGUGGCGUGAUUGGAGCGGCGCGGCGAGGCUGCGGGGGCACCUG